GAUGAACGCUGGCGGCGUGCCUAAUACAUGCAAGUCGAGCGCAGAGGGGAGGGGUGAGUAACACGUGGAUAACCUGCUUUACGUCUGGAAUAAAUGCGGGAAACCGGAGCUAAACGUGCUAUUUGUAUGUGGAUGAGGGGUGCAUUAGCUAUUUGGUAAGGUAACGGCUAACCAAGGCAACGAUGCAUAGCCGACCUGAGAGGGUGAUCGGCCACACUGGAACGGAGACACGGUCCAGACUCCUACGGGAGGCAGCAGUAGGGAAUCUUCCGCAAUGGGCGAAAGCCUGACGGAGCAACGCCGCGUGAGUGAAGAAGGUUUUCGGAUCGUAAAACUCUGUUAUUAGAGAAGCGGUAUCUAACCAGAAAGCCACGGCUAACUACGUGCCAGCAGCCGCGGUAAUAC
rnacentral:rRNA from 1 species